rnacentral:tRNA from 1 species
GGGGAUGUAGUUAAAUGGUAAAGCACUUGUCUAGUGUGCAGGAGGACCUGAGUUCCACUCUCAGCACCUUGA